GAUGAACGCUAGCUACAGGCUUAACACAUGCAAGUCGAGGGGAAACGGCAUUUGGUGCUUGCACCAUUUGGACGUCGACCGGCGCACGGGUGAGUAACGCGUAUCCAACCUGCCCAUAAGUAGGGUAUAACCCGCAGAAAUGCGGACUAAUCCCCUAUGUUGUUCAAAGACGGCAUCAGAUUUGAACCAAAGGCUUGCCGCUUAUGGAUGGGGAUGCGUCCGAUUAGCUUGUUGGUGAGGUAACGGCCCACCAAGGCUUCGAUCGGUAGGGGUUCUGAGAGGAAGGCCCCCCACAUAGGAACUGAGACACGGUCCUAACUCCUACGGGAGGCAGCAGUGAGGAAUAUUGGUCAAUGGGCAGAGCCUGAACCAGCCAAGUAGCGUGCAGGAAGACGGCCCUAUGGGUUGUAAAACUGCUUUUAUGCGGGGAUAACCGGCCUCACGUGUGAGGCUCUGCAGGUACCGCAUGAAUAAGGACCGG
rnacentral:rRNA from 1 species